rnacentral:lncRNA from 1 species
CUCUGAGUCUGGGGAUUUGGGUGGCAGUUGGUGGAAAAGGGUUAGGGUGAGCUGGAACACUUUUCUCCUUCUAAAUACAGAUGCCUAUUUGCUUGCCUGAUGACGUGAGCCUGCGGGUUAGAAGGCGGCCCUGGUCCCUGGGUGCUGAGCUGGAGGGCCCGUGAGGCUGGGAGGUAGCUGGGGCCUCCCUGGCUUCAGGCUCUUGCACUAACGUGUGAGACCUCUUACUAGAUAAAGUCAAGUCUUCUUAUACCUUAGAAGAAUGUAAUUCAGACAAUGUGUGAAGAAAAUAAGACCGUCUACCUUCUAGGGCAUGUGGUCUCAGGGGCUGUUGUGGAUGGCAUAACAAGAAAGAUGCUCUCUGGCUUCGUGGAGAGACUUGUAGAGUGGAUGGAAGUAAAAUUUUAACUCAAACAGAAGGGUGUAUCCCGCCUCGAAGACCAGGAGAGCAGGA